rnacentral:tRNA from 1 species
GCCUGGGUGGCUUAGCGGUUGAGCAUCUGUCUUCAGCGCAGGUCAUGAUCCCAGGGUCCUGGGAUCGAGUCCCGCAUCAGGCU